rnacentral:rRNA from 1 species
GAGUUUGAUCCUGGCUCAAACGAACGCUGGCGGCGUGCCUAACACAUGCAAGUCGGACGAUAACGCGGGCUUCGGCCCGUCAGUACAGUGGCAGACGGGUGAUUAACACGUGGGUAACCUGCCCGGAGGUGGGGGAUAACCCUCCGAAAGGAGGGCUAAUACCGCAUCACAUCCACGAGGUCGCGACCUCUUGGAUCAAAGCUGGCCUCUACUCGUAAGCUAGCGCCACCGGAGGGGCCCGCGGCCCAUUAGCUUGUUGGUGAGGUAACGGCUCACCAAGGCCACUAUGGGUAGCCGGCCUGAGAGGGCGACCGGCCACACUGGAACUGAGACACGGUCCAGACUCCUACGGGAGGCAUCAGUGAGGAAUUUUGCGCAAUGGGGGAAACCCUGACGCAGCGACGCCGCGUGGAGGACGAAGGCCUUCUGGUCGUAAACUCCUGUCAAGUGGGACAAAAGCCGCCGGGAUGAAUAAGCUCGGUGGUUGACCGUACCAC